AUGCUCACUUUGACAGCACAUAUACUAAAACUGGAAUGAUACAGAGAAGAUUAGCAUGGCCCUUGCACAAGGAUGACACCCAAAUUCAUGAAGCAUUCCAUAUUUUU
rnacentral:snRNA from 1 species